CGGAGCAGCAGAUGCACCUCCAGAGCAGGUUCAUCAGCACCUACUAAACACAGCAGCUGACUUGUUUGUGCUGACAAAUCCUCUCCUCUUUGCCCGCCAACAGCCGUGAAGCCUCUUUCCUUCCCCCGGAGCUGGAGGGAGCAGCGUGGUGGAAGGGAGGGUAUGGGAGCUGCCGGCCCUGCGGCGCUGGGCGCGGUGCCAGAUUCCUGCCACUGCUCUGCAAACGGCCCGCGUUCGUUCAGGCUGCUUGCAGUGAUGAGGCACAAGCGUGCCAGGGCUUAAGGCUGCACAGCCGAGAGCUGAACUUGGCUCCCAGAACCGGCUGAGUGUGCAGCAGGAGCUUGGAACCCCAGGAGGAGCAGGGAGUACAGUUCUGCAGCUCCACGGGUGUUGCAAGCUACCACUGUAGCUCCUUGUCACCCCUUUGGGACGCUCCCAAAGAUGCUUCACCUACCCAGUUCUAUCCGGCAGCAAUCCCGGUGACAGGCUGAACUGCUCAAGGGAGAAGCUAAUGCCCCAAACACUGGCUGGAGCUGAGGGGUUGAAACUCUAUGCUGGGGCGGGAGACGCUCAGGGGAAUUUGCAACAGCAGAUGGUGAAGAAAAGAAAAAAGGACAGAGCACACUGCCUGCAGGCACGGGAACACAACACCCCGGGAGCAGUGCAGAGUGAACAGCCAAAGGUCACACAAUGACCAAACAAAGUUUGUUCCAUCUAACAAAGUGGCUGCUGCUCAACCACCACAUGGCCCACAAACCUGCAGCCUCUGCGUGUGUCACCAUCUCCUCGGGCAGCCACAACGUGGCACAUGCACGGAGCAAGCUCUUCCUCCUUCACCGUGCCUGUUUUCCCACUUUAGGACCUAACAGAAGAUCCUUUCAACAACAUUUCCUUUGAAAAAUAAUCCAUCCAGCUCUGUUUUUGGAAAGUGCUGCAUGCCCUGCACAGGAAGAAGUUAAUUACUGUCCGGGGGGUGAGGGCGUGUGUUCUCAAAUGUUUUAAAUGUUUAAUUUUCUUGAAAGAAAAACCAGCUCUGAUCUCUGUUGGAUCCUCUCCCUGUUUACACAGAGGGUUUCUAUUAGCAGGGCCAACAGUACAUCCCUGACUGCCACGUCCGUGUCCUUUUCUUCUUCCCUCAAAACAGGAACCCCUCCCAAGGGGGGGUGUGUCCCACCUCUCCGUGUGCCUCUCUCCAGGGAGCAGGGCUGGCCCAAGCACUCCUGAUGCUCUCUUCCACUAAGGGCUGCUCCAUCAAGACUCUGAGCUGGGGUGAAGCAGCUGGCUGAUGUGACUCUUCCUUUUCUGCCCACUUGCCAGGAAAACACGGAAAGAGGGAAGGGUUACCCCCUUCACAGCCCCUUCUGGUAAGGGCUUCUGAGCAAAAUGCCAGAGAGACCUUUGCUGGUGGGCUCAAACCAGCUUCUGCUCACAUGAGCUGGCAAUGGGGCAUGACCAGGAGAGGUAUCCACAGCUAUUUCACGUACAGUUUACAGGCAGAGAGUGUCCCACAGACAUCUUGAAGAGUUCCUACUGCAAGGACAUCACAGGAUGCGCUGAGGCAGCAGCACACAUGGGACAAGGGUUUUGUAGCAUCUUUCACA